rnacentral:rRNA from 1 species
AUACGGGGGGUGCAAGCGUUAUUCGGAAUUAUUGGGCGUAAAGAGCGCGUAGGCGGCCUCUUAAGUCAGAUGUGAAAGCCCGGGGCUUAACCCCGGAAGUGCAUUUGAAACUAGGUGGCUUGAGUAUGGGAGAGGGAAGUGGAAUUCCUGGUGUAGAGGUGAAAUUCGUAGAUAUCAGGAGGAACACCGGUGGCGAAGGCGACUUCCUGGACCAAUACUGACGCUGAGGCGCGAAGGCGUGGGGAGC